AGUCCACACAAUGGAGCUUCCAACCCGGCCCCCUGAAUUCCCCCCGCUUCUUUCAGUGCAUAGGAUGGACCCGCUUUGAAGAUGAAUCAGCGCUGUGUAGUGAAGGAGAAGAAAUGGUCUUGCAGAGUUUUUCAAAACAGUUUAAAUCCAGAAAUCAAACAAAACACUAAUGAAAAGUUGGACUGGAAAGACUUCAUUUUGGCCUAAAAUGGGACUGAGCUAAUGCCACACUGUGGUAUAUCACACAAAGAAGGUACAUGAGAAGAAAGGGUUUGCUUAGCCCUAUAGAACUUCUGUGUGUCUGUAUCUCUAGGGUUGGUUAUACUCAUCAUUCUGGUAUGCAAGACUUGAGCUGGAACAAUUGAACAAAAAGCAUAUCCUGCUCUGAGAAUCAUAAAAGUCUUGAUGGACUACACAACACGAGUAAUUCCAGGUUCUUACUGGGAAAAAAAUUAAGAAUACAAGGAGACAUAUUGCAGCAAUUCCUUAAAAAUCUCUCUCACUCCUAAUGAGAAGACAAAUUCCCACACGGCACCCAUUAAAAACUCCACAAGUAGGGAGGGGGGAAAAGGGAUAUUUCUUGCUGUCAGUGCCAUUAAAUAACACCUUGGGAUAACACUUAUGUGACAGCAGGAUACAUUAGUGAGCACACAAGUAUUCUAGGGAUAGCAGAAGAUAAACGUUGAUACACUCGUUAUCUAUACCUGUGAAGCUCUGCAAGUGAAGUAAGCGGAGUCCUCCAAGCAAC